CCCCCUGUGGGAGGCCACAUUCUGAACAGGCUCCCAACUUUCCUGCUCUGUGAAAUUUGUACCCCAUCUACUGUCUCUCCUUGAGGAUCACGUGAUGUCAGCAUGUGAAUCUGAUGGGACAACAUCUCAUGAGCACAUCCUGUGACACCUCAAAGAAACGGAUGUUUCCAAUGUAGAUAAGGUCUCUAGUCAGCUGAGUGUAAGUGAAGUAAGAAUGAGGUUAUUGGGGAUGAGCCUGGCCUAAUCAGAUCCAUCAUCAAGCAAGAAUUCAAGCUUACUGUAUCCAACACACUCUGAAAAGUAUGGUGUGAAAGUAUGGCCACUAAGAACUGAACUCGGAGCAAGACAUCUGCACAGCCAUGCUCGCAAAUGCGCAUCAUAGCUAGAUGUUUAAACAAGCUUGGAUCUCGUGACAGAGAAAAAGAAGCACCCGCUUCCUUCAAAAUCCCUUCUCCCUGGAGGCCUGUAUCACUUCUGUUCUUCAUUGUCAAAGAUGUUUGAAAGCUUGACUGUAUUCGGUGUGCUCUUAUUCCCCACGUACGGUCCUCAGUCUUUCCCCUCCCCAUCCAGUUUUCCUUAAAGUGAUCCUACCAGAAGAGCUUGUGUCACAGUUAUUAAAACAGAGUACAUAGGACCAAAU